rfam:Camelus ferus unplaced genomic scaffold scaffold1466, whole genome shotgun sequence.
AAGGAUAUAGCUCAGUGGUGGAGCUCAUGCUUAGCAUGCAGGAGGUCCUGGGUUCAAUCCCCAUUACCUCUG